UCAGCAUAUUAUGUUGAAAUUCGUCUCUGAGAGAAUAAUGCUCUGGUAAUCCAGCGUCAGACAGCAACGUCACUUUAUACUUUCUGUAGUGAAUACUGACCGAAGUUGAGUCUUUUUCACCGACACAACUCUUGCACAAUGUUUACACGUUGCUUCUUGUGUGACAUUCAUUGGCUCCCAUUCUUGUUUUAAAAUGGAAAAAAAUCCCAACAUUAUGACGAAGCGAUACAUACGGCAACUGCCUGUUGGCAUACAUCUUUACAACUAAAGACUUGAACGUGAACUUGCGCACUGCAUAAUGCGUGUCAACAUUACACUGCGCAUGUGCUCCAGAGACUUCUGAAUACGACUCAGAAAGUAGUCGGAUUCAAGUGUUUACAUGGUAAUUUUUUGCUGUUGGAUAGGAUUAGAAAAGGAAUAAACCAUCCCUUCCAAUCCGAUCGAAAUUUCAUUCGGAUCGAGCUCAAUCGGAUCGAUUAAGGUGUUUACAUGAACAUUUUUCAAUCCGAUUGAGCCGUCAAUCCGAUUACAAAUGGAUUAUUUGGGUGCAUGUAAAUGUAGCCAAUGGAGACUGUGAUCAGAGCUGGUAUACAAAGGAUGGGCGUCUGUUAGCAGAUCCAUCAGAUCCACACACACUGAGUGAUCCUGUUAUUUCAGUCUCAUCUGAUCGUCUCGUCACUUCUGACUGUGUGAAUCAACUUCAUCAUGAGAUUCAGUGUGAUGUUAAUGGGGUGAUUAAUGAGUUGGGCUGGAUUUCCUGAUAACGUUGUCUCUUAGUGCGCUACGAAGACUCUAAAGUUACAGGUGCAGUAUUUGGACUGAACCACUUCUGCUGCUGCUGCACGAGAUGAAAACACACAUGACACAUGAUUGAUUUCAGUGAGAGCAUUAUCAUUUCCAUUUGAAAACAGAUAAUCGUGAUGUUGAGGGAGAAAUCAUUUACUCCUGAAGUAUAGCAGUGGAUCUCAUGACGAAGUUCAUCAACGCAGUAUGAAGUGACGAGACGAUCGGAUGAGGCAGAAAUAACAGGAUCAAUCAGUCUGUGAGGAUUCGAUGGAUCUGCCAUCAGACGAUCAUCCUGAUUAAAUGAAAAACAAGACAUUCAUAUAAUGUGUGUGUGUGUGUGUGUGUGUGUGUGUGAUCAUGUAGUCUGACAGAAACACACACCUUUGAGUACCAGAGCUGCUCACAGUCAAACUCACUGAACUGAGU